rnacentral:rRNA from 1 species
CAGUUUGAUUUUUCCGCAGUCGAGUAUCCAUCCUCCUCUGAGCGAGGAUCAGGGGUGGCGGUCGAGCAUCAGGAAAAAGAAGGUAGUUUCUUGGCCCCCUUAUUUCCGCCUGUUCUCUUCCGUGGUCGCCUUAAAAGGAAAAAGGAGGGGCUUCGCGUCGAGGUGCCCGCCGAAGCGCUACCGGCGGCGGCUGAUGCUGGCGCGCAUGGCGGGGAUGCGCGGGAGGAGGCGGCGGCUGAUGCUGGCGGGGAUGGCGUUGCUCUAGCACGGGAUGCCGCUGGCGGCGUAGCUGGAGCAGCAGUUCGGCGGCGGCGGGUGGUCCAGGGGCGGCGGCGGCAACGGGCAGUGGUUCUCGCCUCCGCCUCCGCCCUAUCCGAGGCGGACCACGAAGUCGCUGGGCCUCCACUUCUCCGCCGCAGCCCACCGCUCGAUGUUCCGCAUGAGCCACCUCCCUUUUCAGUUCCGGAGGAAGGCGGCCCCGAAGGCGACCUAGUUCCUGUUCACGUGCCCGAAGUAGGUACCGACUUAGGCACCAGAACCCACUCAAGAUAACCCCCUAGCUUCUUCUGCGACGUUGUUACACGCUCAUUGCCUACGACAACGGAAACGAUUAAACGAGGGUUUUGUACCUUCCUAAAACAGGUACUCCAACACUCCCAUUGAAAACCCAGUCCAAAUAUCUUUUGUUUUUAACUUCUCGAAGGAGUACUAUAACGAAACUAACGUCUACGACAAGAAUGACAGACGAUUAAUCGAUCAAUAAAGUUCUUACAGAGUUGUCCUCAACUUAGAAACCUUUCCUUGACCAAUUAAAAGUACUAUAGCGAUACAGAGAGGAAUUCGGUGCGGUAAGACGUAUACAUAGAACUACAAAACUCUAUAAUAAUCCAAGAAAAUAUGGUGAAGGUUGUCACACUGCCUCCGUAGCAAUUGACUUAGUACUCUCCUUUUACCCAGUAGGGGUUUAACCGCAUAGUCCUUGGACAAGGCAGUUAAACGACACGGCAACGGCGGUUAAACGAUUCUGUUCUGAAAACAACAGGAUGAAUACUUUUUC